rnacentral:tRNA from 1 species
CAUUAGAUGGCUGAAAGCCUAAAGCACUGGUCUCUUAAACCAAUUCAUAGUAAAUUAUUACUUCUAAUG